CGUAUGGACCGAGCGUUGUCCGGAAUCAUUGGGCGUAAAGGGUACGUAGGCGGCCUAGUAAGUUAGAAGUGAAGAAUAUAGCUCAACUAUAUAAAGCUUUUAAACUGUUAGGCUUGAGAGAUGAAAGGGAAGUGGAAUUCCUAGUGUAGCGGUGAAAUGCGCAGAUAUUAGGAAGAAUACCGGUGGCGAAGGCGACUUUCUGGUCAUCAUCUGACGCUGAGGUACGAAAGCGUGGGUAGCAAACAGGAUU
rnacentral:rRNA from 1 species